UCAGGACGAACGCUGGCGGCGUGCUUCAUACAUGCAAGUCGAACGAUAAGGUCUCUUCGGAGAUACAUAAGUGGCGGACGGGUGAGUAAAAUGUAGAGAAUCUGCCCUAGAGAUGGGGACAACAGUUGGAAACGACUGCUAAUACCCAAUAUGAGCGUAGUUGAAAUACUAUUCGUUGAAAACUCCGGUGCUCUGGGAUGAGUCUGCAUCUGAUUAGCUAGUUGGAGGUGUAAUGGACCACCAAGGCGACGAUCAGUAGCUGGUUUGAGAGGAUGAUCAGCCACAAUGGGACUGAGACACGGCCCAUACUCCUACGGGAGGCAGCAGUAGGGAAUUUUGCGCAAUGGGGGAAACCCUGACGCAGGCCAACGCCGCGUGAAUGAAGAAGCCCUUCGGGGUGUAAAGUUCUGUCAGUAGGGAAGAAUAAAUGACUGUACCUACAGAGGAAGCAUCGGCUAACUCCGUGCCAGCCGCAGC
rnacentral:rRNA from 1 species